rnacentral:misc_RNA from 1 species
AUUUUCAUUUCCAUCAACACCCUCUGCUGAAUUUACAAAUCCCACCAAAUCAUUAUUAAUGGUAGGGGAGUGCUUUGGAAAAAUUGUAACCUGCACAUUGGAAUUUCAACCCAUCGUAUGACGAUCAACGCUGCCUUUAAAGAAUUUUCUUAGUUUACAAACAAAGGCGAUAUCUUUGUCCUUCUUUGAAUUACUUUCUUUCUAAGAUACUUUCAAGAAUCUCAAGUAUAGCAUUUCUUUAUUAACACUUCAAUUGGUUUCUCUCUUUCAGGUUCCAAAAUCCUGAGAAUCAACUGGUCGUUUCAUACAUCUUCUUUGCUCUUUUCCAACUUCUACCCCAUUUUUCAUCAUCAUCAACUACUAAUCUUCAGGGAUCAAUGGAACAAAUUCUUAUAUCCCACCAUUCAAGUAGGCGAAAUUACAGGCCAAAAGGGUUGGACAAGAAAAGGGUUCUUCAGAUUAUUUUGCUUUUAGCAAUUUGCAUUUGGUUGGGACACCAAGUCAAGAACUCGCAUCACCAACAUGAGGGUUACAAUGAGAAUCCUCAAAGUCCAAGUGAAAGAAAUAUAACCAUAGUUUUGGGCCGCAGGGGGAUCGAAAAGUAUAAGAAUGGAGCUAAUGCAGAAUUUCAAGAUACAAAUGAUUCACAGGAAUAUGAAAGAAGAGACGGAGGUGUAGGAGACGAUGAGAUUGAUGGAAUUAUUAGUGCAGAUGUAGAGAAUGUACAGGAACUUGUACAAGAACAAACUAGAGCAGUAAAUGGUAGAGAUGAAGCAAUAGUCCUAGCCAAGUCUUAUAUCACAGUGGCUGCAAACCAAGACUCUGAAAUGGAGAUAGGGGAUGAUAGUGGUGAAAAUAUUCAUAGAGUUGAGGCUUUUCUUGAUGAGAAUGGGAUUCCACCAGAUGCCUCCCAUUUUAUCAAUUCUACGUCAUCUGAGCCUAGGGGAAGAGCCCAUGAAUCUUAACAGGAGUCGAGCGAUUUCAAUGAUAAUUCAUCUCAGGCUAGCAUUUCUAUUCAAUUCUUGUUUAUCGUGUCUGAUUACUAUGGUUAUGCUACCUGCCUAAUAACGUCGGCGAGUCUCGGUUUUGUGCCUCUAGGCAUCAACGAGAAGAGAAUGAUCUCUUUACCCCAAAGUCUGUAAAAAGCAUUUUUCUCAGGUCCAGGACCAGCCCAUAAAAAAUAAUUGGCUAUCAACCUGGCCGAGACAAAUUGUUUGACGAGUCUACCCAAAACUAUACAGAAGUUGCCCCACCUUCAACCGCCUACACAGCUUUGUACUGGCACCAACACAUGAUAAGAAAAUCAAAGUGCACUAUUGUUUCCAUUAAAGAAACAAAAAGAUAAAUGAACCUUAUAAAUCAUAGUAAUAUAUUUUACAUUAAGAAGUUCAGAC